rnacentral:rRNA from 1 species
AGAGUUUGAUCAUGGCUCAGAACGAACGCUGGCGGCAUGCCUAAUACAUGCAAGUCGAACGCUUCACCGGUUUCGGCCGGUGGGGAGUGGCGCACGGGUGAGUAGCGCGUGGGAACCUGCCCUGUUGUGGGGGAUAACCGAGGGAAACUUCGGCUAAUACCGCAUGCGCCCCGGCGAAAGCCGGGGGAAAGAUUUAUCGC